rnacentral:lncRNA from 1 species
CUUUUGCAAAAAUUAACAUGGUAGUCAUCAUUUGAGUUUAAUCAGGCAUCAUAACUUUUUAUUUAUUGAUAGACUAGUAAUUUUUACUAUAAAACAGACAGUUUAGCCAGUCUGCCCAACUUGGUCUUCAUUACCCAAUUGUUAAACAUCAGAUUUGAGUAUGUGGAUAAAAAUUAACAAAUGUGUGAAAUUUGUGGGCUAUCUUUAAAAGUUACAGUAUAUAAAUUAACUAUCACUAAUGUAAGUGAUAUUUUUCUGUUUGAAAUUAUUACUUCUGUUUACGGCAAAGUUUGGUGUAGUGUGCAGUAUUUAGUCCUAGACUGAAUUUAUUCUAAAUCAGAAAAUGAUUAAAAUAUGCACAACCAAAGCCAAUUUUUUCUUUUCUUUUUCAUUCAUUCAACAGCUAUUUAUUGAGCAUCAGCUCUGUACCAGGCACAUUACUAGCUGCUACACACUGUCUGAAUAUGACAUAUGGUUAAGUAACUUUACAAUGGUUAUCAAAUACUUUAAUGUAGGUAUUUCUUAAGUUGGAAUGGCACUCAUUAAGUUAGGAUGAUGCUUUCAUGUUAUUUUACUAUCGUGAUGGAAAUUCUACUCGUGCCGUAUGUAACUGGGUUGCUACAAAAAGGGCAGGGUGAAAUCUGAGGUUAAUCCCAGUUUAAAAACUGGAAGGAGAAGGGUAAGAUCUCUCCAUUAUAAAAUAGAUCACAUUAUGUUAUUUUUAUGCAUCAGUACAUUACAUAUAUCAGCUAGCCCUCAAAGAAACAUUUAGUGCUGGAGAUUUUACAAAGCUGACUUUUUACAACUUUGGAAAACUUUUGAGGGGAGUAGGUAAAAUUACAUGUCAACAUUCGCCUCUUACUCAAAACUUCAAAUAAAAUACACAUUUUCAAAAUGGAGCACCUUUUAUAUUUGAUAAUUAUUCAUUACAAACUUUAGAAUGCCAGUCCCAGAGGGGCUGUCUUUCUGUGGGUUAGCAAACGUUUAUCUUAUUUUUGGAGGAGUGAUUGUGGUUGCAGAGCAGGAAGUGACAAAACGCUGCCAGCAGUGAUUGCUACUUGAGGGAGUUUUUUAUGACUACCGUUUGUCCCAUGAGGUUAUGUAGAAUUUCUUUUAUCUUUGGGAAAGAUUGAGGAGAAGAUAGUAAAAGAAUUAGGAAUUUAAAAUUACAGGGAAAAAUAUGUAUGUGAAAAGCAAUAAAUAUUUUGUUCACUUUGCUAUCAAGAUGUUCACUAUCAGAUAUUUAUUAUACAGCAGCAAUUUAUAUUUUUAAUCAUUGCCCAUUAAUAGAUGCAGUAAAAUAUUUUUGAAUCAGACAUUUGGGGUUUGUAUGUGCAUUAAAAUUGUCUUUUGUACUGUAAGUUACUGUUUAAUUUGAAUAUUUUAUCAGAACUGUCUUCCUGUGCCUUUAUAAUAUAA